GAGAUGCCUAUCUUAUGCAACCUAGAAAAAACCCUAGAAAUAGAUUCAAAUAGUAAGUCUAGGGUAUUGGUACUUUGAAUUCUAGUUUCCUUUUUGGCCACGAGCGGCGCUAGUAGGAUGAUCGACAAAUUAAACCGAAUGUUAUCGAAACCUUACCUUAACGAGAGCCGUUUGAGUUUUUUAAAGUUUUCUAAUUAAAAAGGGAUGUUUUUAAGGGUGAAUUUUUUGUAUAAUAUAAGGGAAAUCGGGUUGCAUAGGAUAGGCAUAGCUGGAACGUUAUAAGUAUGCCAAAUCACCUGAAAACUGCCCCAGAAAGAUUCCCAUACAUAGGGCACGGGAACGCCCCUCGCUCCCAUUGGCUGUCGCAUCGGCCAUAUUGUGAACGACUUACCCGCGCUCUAGCGUAUAUAAUGAGGGCAUAUUUGGGUGAUCGGGCAGUCCGAAUCCAGCAGCGCUCCAGUUAACAAGAAGAAAUAAAGGAAGAAUUAACCCUGAA